rnacentral:rRNA from 1 species
UACGUAGGUGGCAAGCGUUGUCCGGAUUUACUGGGCGUAAAGGAUGCGUAGGCGGACAUUUAAGUCAGAUGUGAAAUACCCGAGCUUAACUUGGGUGCUGCAUUUGAAACUGGGUGUCUAGAGUGCAGGAGAGGUAAGUGGAAUUCCUAGUGUAGCGGUGAAAAUGCUAGAGAUUAGGAAGAACACCGUGGCGAAGGCGACUUACUGGACUGUAACUGACGCUGAGGCAUGAAAGCGUGGGGGAGCAAACAGG